UUACGGCCAUAUCACGCUGAAACAGCUAUUACUAUGCGAUCACCGACAUUAAGCAACGUUGAGCUUAGUCAGUAACUAGAUGGGUGACCGCUUGGGAAUACCAUUUGCUGUAAG